AUGCUUUUUGAGGAAAUAUUGCCCACAACCACUUGUGCAAUGAAAGAGGAGAGCUUUGUGACAAUUCUCCCGACUUUGAGAGUUUUCAAAAGAACAUUCAUUCUUGAAAGCUGGAAUUCUUGGAGCUUGUUGGGUCAAAGCAAUUGUGGGAGUGAAUACAGCACAGGCUCCAUUCACUGCUGUGGGCUUUAUCGGGAUGUGACAGCCAACGAUGGAUGGGACUGCAUGAAAGACAGUUGAGCAUGCCAGUCUGGCAAACCCUGUGCCCACCUACUCUACUUCCUCACACUCUGGGAGACAAACAACUU
rnacentral:lncRNA from 1 species